rnacentral:rRNA from 1 species
GAUGUGGACAAAAUAUGCAUGUAAACACAGCAGAUCUUGUCUGAUCUUGGAAGCUAAGCAGGGUCAGCCCUGGUUAGUACUUGGAUGGGAGACCACCAAGGAAUACCAAGUGCUGGAGGCU